rnacentral:rRNA from 1 species
CUAAGAAUAUUCCGCAAUGGACGAAAGUCUGACGGAGCGACGCCGCGUGGAUGAAGAAGGCCGAAAGGUUGUAAAGUUCUUUUGUUGGGGAAGAAUAACCAUGGGAGGGAAUGCCCGUGGGAUGACAUGAACCGACGAAUAAGCCCCGGCUAACUACGUGCCAGCAGCCGCGGUAACACGUAGGGGGCGAGCGUUGUUCGGAAUCACUGGGCGUAAAGGGCAUGUAGGCGGUCUUGUAAGCUUGGCGUGAAAGACCACGGCUCAACCGUGGGAUUGCGUUGAGAACUGCGAGGCUUGAGUGACGGAGAGGGAGCUAGAAUUCCUGGUGUAGGGGUGGAAUCUGUAGAGAUCAGGAAGAAUACCAAUGGCGAAGGCAAGCUCCUGGCCGAUGACUGACGCUGAGGUGCGAAAGUGUGGGGAUCAAACAGGAUUAGAUACCCUGGUAGUCCACACUGUAAACGAUGUGCACUAGGUGCUGGUACGGAUGUAUCAGUGCCGUAGCUAACGUGAUAAGUGCACCGCCUGGGGAGUAUGCUCGCAAGGGUG